rnacentral:rRNA from 1 species
GAUGAACGCUGGCGGCGUGCCUAAUACAUGCAAGUCGAGCGAAGCGGGGACGGGCAAGUAACACGUGGAUAACCUCCUAUAAGACUGGGAUAACUUCGGGAAACCGGAGCUAAACCGGAAACUUAUAGAUGGAUGCGCGCUGCAUUAGAUAGUUGGUAAGGUAACGGCUUACCAAGGCAACGAUGCAUAGCCGACCUGAGAGGGUGAUCGGCCACACUUGAACUGAGACACGGUCCAGCCUCCUACGGGCGGCAGCAGUAGGGAAUCUUCCGCAUUGGGCGAAAGCCUUACGGAGCUACGCCGCAUGAGUGAUGAAGGUCUUCGGAUCGUAAAACUCUGUUAUUAGAGAGGCGGUACCUAAUCAGGAGGCCACAGCUAACUACGGGCCAGCAGCCGCGGUAAUAC